UACAAACAUUAUUUCAGUUUUUCUACACGGGUGAUAAAGCUGAAGAUCGACUGGAAAAUGGUCUGUAUGCUUCCACAAGUAAAUGCUUGUGAGAACAUGGCCAUCAAAAGGAAUUAAUUUACAAGAAGGAUGCGUAAUAAAUUUGGAACCUGCUAUGAAUUUUCAAAAACAUCUCCUACUGUUGUGACCCAGUCCUCUGUGGUGGUUUUCUGAUGGACCAUGACUUGCUCUUGGAUUCUGCUGACUGGGUGAGGUUGAAUACGUGCAAUCUUGAGUAAUACCUAUGUAAGGAACAACGUUGGAUUCACGUACCUGAUUGUAGAGCAAUGGUAACUUGUUUCACUGAUAGCUCUGGGAAAGGACAUAAUGAAUGCCCUUGGUUGGCUUUCUCCUCUUCAUUUUGUGCUCACAAAGACUGAAGUAUUUCAGCAUACUGAUGGACAAUGGACUGCCAGUGCAGACAGACAUCCAAAUUCAUCUUGGAAGAGUCAAGUUCUUAACUGUAGCAAAAAUAGCAAUUAUUUAUGGAGCAGCAUUAUAAUAGGCAUUAUGAAUUUGCAGAAGUCUUCACUGCACACAAAAUAUCAUUUUACUUGUACUAGAAAUUUCAUUUUUUUACAUUUUCUAGGUAGUUUGUUGUCUUCUUCAAACAGAGGCUGGUUUUCCUAGACAGGAGAAGGUAUUUUGCUGUG
ensembl:lncRNA